rnacentral:misc_RNA from 1 species
UUUCCGUAGGUGAACCUGCGGAAGGAUCAUUAUUGUAUAACCGAGGUGCGAGGGCUGUCGCUGACCCGAAAGGUCGUGCACGCCCGAGUGCCCUCACACACAUCCAUCUCACCCCCUAUGUGCACCACCGCGUGGGUCCCCCUUUGGCUUGUUCGGAGGGGGGCUUACGUUUUCACACAAACUUUGUAUGCAGUGUAGAAUGUAUUUUUUGUUUUUGCGAUCACGCAAUCAAUACGACUUUCAACAACGGAUCUCUUGGCUCUC